GACGAACGCUGGCGGCGUGCUUAACACAUGCAAGUCGAACGAUGAACCCGGAGCUUGCUCCGGCGGAUUAGUGGCGAACGGGUGAGUAACACGUGAGUAACCUGCCCUUGACUCUGGGAUAACUGCGGGAAACUGUAGCUAAUACCGGAUACGACCCUCGGCGGCAUCGCCAGGGGGUGGAAAGAAUUUCGGUCAAGGAUGGACUCGCGGCCUAUCAGCUAGUUGGUGAGGUAACGGCUCACCAAGGCGACGACGGGUAGCCGGCCUGAGAGGGUGACCGGCCACACUGUGACUGAGACACGGCCCAGACUCCUACGGGAGGCAGCAGUUGGGAAUAUUGCACAAUGGGCGCAAGCCUGAUGCAGCAACGCCGCGUGAGGGAUGACGGCCUUCGGGUUGUAAACCUCUUUUAGUAGGGAAGAAGCGAAAGUGACGGUACCUGCAGAAAAAGCACCGGCUAACUACGUGCCAGCCGCCGCCGUAA
rnacentral:rRNA from 1 species